AUGACCAAGCCAAAAUAUUGUGGAGGCCUUGGUUUCUAGGAUAUCGAGCUUUUUAACCUAGCUCUACUGGCAAGGCAAGCAUGGAGAAUUUUAACGGACCCAGACUCACUCAGCGCACGGGUUCUGAGGGCCAAAUACCACCCAGGAGUUGAUAUCUUGAAUGUGGAAAUUGGUUCGGCUCCUUCUCAAAUUUGGCGGGCUAUAAUUGAGGGUCGCGACGUUCUUAAGCAUGGCAUUAUCAAACACAUUGGUGAUGGACUCACGACACACAUAUGGGAUCAGAACUGGCUUCCGAGAUCAGCAAACAUGCGACCUAUUGCUAGUCUGAUUGCUAAUCCACCUCAAUGGGUUAGUGAUAUUAUCUUGCCUAGCACAGAGAAUGGGACCAAGCUGCAGUUUCACAGAUCUUCUUACCCACGGAUGCACAAGUGA
rnacentral:rRNA from 1 species